rnacentral:sRNA from 1 species
AAUAAAUCUCUUGCAGUAAUGGCGCA